rnacentral:lncRNA from 1 species
UGCGUUCUUUCCCCUGAGUAGGUCUCGGCUACCUCCGCAGCCCAACCAAUGAGAUUUCUCCGUGUCUUGUGAGCUUGAUUAGUCUCAUCUCUGUGAUUUGUGAGGUUUGGUUUGUGCACAGAACAACUGCUAUAGUUUUGAAAAUUUCUUGAAUUGUUACUUUGUUAGAUAGAAACUACUCCAAAAUAGAGUUUAAAGAAAUGAGAUUCAGACAUUAGACUCCAAAUGAAGUGAUGGUUUAAUUGAAUGAUUAGGUAGAAAAUACUCAUUGGAGCAACAGUACCAGCUGAUAUGGUCGUGUUCUGAAAGUAGACCAUAACCAUACGUGUAGGCUUUUCAUAAUCCAAUAUGUUACCUGCAGCUGAGGAUUUAUGUGGAAUACAGAUUACUCUAUACUUUUAUGACCAACUCGUUAUUGUUACUCACAACCUUUUCAGUUCAGGCUAGAACAAGAAAGCCAAAGUGUCAUGUCUUGCCCCUAAAUUUCAUUUUGCAUAGUCAAUAAAUUAGAAAUGGCUAGUACGGUAAUACCUUUAAUAACAGGAAUGUGAAUUUUGUAAGCUAGCUAGGCCAUACAUGCACUUCCAUCUCUGUCAUACAAGUUGGGCAAACUUUGUGUUUGGAUAUGUACUGCACUAAUUGAUAUAGGUAAUUAUAUUCUUGAUGCUACACGAGGUUUGUCUCCUUUUAUCGCCUGCUAAUUGAUGAUUGGUGAUUAUAGUAGGGCAUGGAUGCUGAUUUAUUUAUUUUUUGCUAAGAGUUUGUAUCAUGUGCCUUUCUGUUCUCAUAGUGAAAUGACAAUGGUGCCAAUAUGGUAUAAGAAUUAUGAUGCUUUAAAUGCUGAUAGGGCCAUUUACGUCCUCUGAUUCGUUGCCCGAGCAGAUCUACAGCAUCCUCUACUUCUUAACUGAUGGUGACAUUUCUUUGCUAUUCCUACAAUAUAGAUAAAUGAUAUUCUACUAUUAGUUUUCCAUUUCCUGAAACGACACCUUUCAGUUCACUAUUCUGCUGUGCUAGAUUGCAUUCCUUGUCGGUAUUGUAUUUCUUGUUGCUUGUAGCAGAUACGACUGGUAUGCAUUUUGUUAUUAUUUUUUUCUUUAAUAGAAGGCAAGCUGGGGACUGGUCCAUUUGCAAAAGCAGCAAUGCAACCACAAGCAAGCUGAGGAGGUAAUAUAUAUGUUUCUCUUGGCUAUUGCUACGUGAUACUAUUUCUUUGUUGUUUGACUUUGGAAGGAACCAAUUGAUCCAUUUCUGUUCAGAUUAAUUUCUGGUGUAUACUAGUGUAGUAUCAGUUAUCAGUAUAUCAACUGCUUAUAAGAUGCAUUUUAAUUUUUAAGAUUUUGCACCCUAUUUCUGCCGGAUACUUCUUUCAUGGCUACUGUACCAAAAUAUGUGCAUAAUACUUACAUUGAUGACACUUUCUAAAUGCAACAGUAUAUACUUAUGUUACAAAUAAAAAAUAAUAUAUAUAUAUUUCUUUCGGAAGUACUAUAUAAUUCUUUAAUUGCCAAACAGUAUACGUCAUCUCAGUAUCUCAUUGAACACCGGCCAGUAAAUAACUACUGAUUUGAGUCAUUACAGAAAUCAUGUUACAAACCACUAGCUACAUAGUACAAUGGUACAGAUGAAAGGGCACAAAUGCUCGCAGCCUUCAGUUUGCCAAGGCAUUUCUGUUUUGUUAGCAGCCCAAAUAUUUAGUAAAUACAGUGUGCUUCAUUAACAUCUCCUCUCCUCUCCUGCUUAUGCAAACAGAAUGGUCGUUCGGAUGGCGAGUGUGUUUGCUUGCGCAAUGUUGAUUUACAUAUAUUUUGAUUAUAGAAACCAAGUCAUCAUACAAAAACCAAAAAAAUAAAUCCCUUUCUUCUUGAAGAUGCCGCCAUCUUUCUUCUUCUAUUCUGUUCUCUUUUCCUUGCUCCUCUCUUUAUGAUGCUUCAUCUUAUACUUUAUGUCCUGUUCUCUUUUACUUUGUUCUGCUUGCUCCUUAACAAAAGCAUGGAACCAGGAACUGAACAGUUACUCCCCAUUAAUAGAACCCAAAAUAUGUCCUUUUUUGCUGCGUUAUGUGAUUCAUGUUAGUAGUGGGAUUUGUUGCUUUUGCACAACACGCCACACGUUCAACAUUUUGUGCUUGUCUUUGGAUAGAUAUGCCAACUGCCUAGCUGAGAAGCCACUGACUAUUACAAGUACAUAGUUCUAGUAAGGGACAGUGAAUUGUACAUGUUCCUGUUUUGUCAUAUUUGCCCAUGGAAGAUUUUUGUAUGCGCAGUGCAAAUAAUUCUUGUUUGAUCAAAUUAUGUAAUAUUGCCUCAUGCUUGCUGUGAUGAUGAAGUGCUGCACAUAUGGAAGUUUUAUUUAAAAUCCAACAUGUCCAAAUUGUUAAUGUGUCAGAUUUAAAAUCUGAAAUAAGAGCUUCAUUUUGAAUUUUUGAUCUGUUGCAGGUGCCUCAAAGAUACACAAGUUGAUCUACAGGCUGCCCUGAAGAUUUGGGAGACCUACGACUAAGUUGGUGGAGUGAAAUUGUAAUAAGCCUUGUUUGUUGAACCUGGAGAUAUUGGGACGUUUUACGCUCAUUUUGUUUUUUGUUUUGGCACAUAAGUCACAAGUUUUACUCUCAUUUUGAUUGUGUUGCACAUCCAGAAACAUAUGUUCUUUUCCUUUUUGUUGCACGUCCUUGUAUAUUGUUGUCUCAUGAAUGUAUCAAAGGAAAAUACAUAUUUUCUCUAUUAUGUUUAUCGAAUGAAGUUUAAGAUUUUGGAUGAGGCCUAUAUGUAAUGUUGAUUGAAGUUUAUCUAUAAGUUGUAUGAUCUAUCUUGAUUGCUUAAUCACGCAGUGGUAAUACUAAAUUAUGUAUAUGUUGCUCAGAACGUUUGCUAGUGAAACAUAACGUUAUGGCAUAUAAACUGCCGGGUG